GACGAACGCUGGCGGCGUGCUUAACACAUGCAAGUCGAACGGUAAGGCCCUUCGGGGUACACGAGUGGCGAACGGGUGAGUAACACGUGGGUGAUCUGCCCUGCACUUCGGGAUAAGCCUGGGAAACUGUAGCUAAUACCGGAUACGAGACCUUGGGGCAUCCCAGGGUCUGGAAAGAAUUUCGGUGAAGGAUGAGCUCGCGGCCUAUCAGCUAGUUGGUGAGGUAAUGGCUCACCAAGGCGACGACGGGUAGCCGGCCUGAGAGGGGGACCGGCCACACUGGGACCGAGACACGGCCCAGACUCCUACGGGAGGCAGCAGUGGGGAAUAUUGCACAAUGGGCGAAAGCCUGAUGCAGCAACGCCGCGUGAGGGAUGAAGGCCUUCGGGUUGUAAACCUCUUUUAGUAGGGAAGAAGCGCAAGUGACGGUACCUACAGAAAAAGCACCGGCUAACUACGUGCCAGCCGCCGCAGUAA
rnacentral:rRNA from 1 species